rnacentral:rRNA from 1 species
GAUGAACGCUGGCGGCGUGCCUAAUACAUGCAAGUCGAGCGAACGGACGAGAAGCUUGCUUCUCUGAUGUUAGCGGCGGACGGGUGAGUAACACGUGGAUAACCUACCUAUAAGACUGGGAUAACUUCGGGAAACCGGAGCUAAUACCGGAUAAUAUUUUGAACCGCAUGGUUCAAAAGUGAAAGACGGUCUUGCUGUCACUUAUAGAUGGAUCCGCGCUGCAUUAGCUAGUUGGUAAGGUAACGGCUUACCAAGGCAACGAUGCAUAGCCGACCUGAGAGGGUGAUCUGCCACACUGGAACUGAGACGCGGUCCAGACCCCUACGGGAGGCAGCAGUAGGGAAUCUUCCGCAAUGGGCGAAAGCCUGACGGAGCAACGCCGCGUGAGUGAUGAAGGUCUUCGGAUCGUAAAACUCUGUUAUUAUGGAAGAACAUAUGUGUAAGUAACUGUGCACAUCUUGACGGUACCUAAUCAGAAAGCCACGGCUAACUACGUG